rnacentral:rRNA from 1 species
CCUACGGGGGGCAGCAGUGAGGAAUAUUGGUCAAUGGGCGCAAGCCUGAACCAGCCAAGUCGCGUGAGGGAUGACGGUCCUAUGGAUUGUAAACCUCUUUUGUCGGGGAGCAAGGCCCGCCACGUGUGGCGGGAAGGAGAGUACCCGAAGAAAAAGCAUCGGCUAACUCCGUGCCAGCAGCCGCGGUAAUACGGAGGAUGCGAGCGUUAUCCGGAUUUAUUGAGUUUAAAGGGUGCGUAGGCGGACAGUCAAGUCAGCGGUAAAAAUGCGGUGCUCAACGCCGUACAGCCGUUGAAACUGGCAGUCUGGAGUGGGCGAGAAGUAUGCGGAAUGCGUGGUGUAGCGGUGAAAUGCAUAGAUAUCACGCAGAACCCCGAUUGCGAAGGCAGCCUGCCAAGCCAUGACUGACGCUGAUGCACGAAAGCGUGGGGAUCAAACAGGAUUAGAUACCCGUGUAGUC